UGUAAAUAAUUUGCAUCCUCUGAUUUGAUCAUCUAAGUAUUUCCAGCAGUGACAUAAAAUUGAAGGUCAUGGUUCUAUGAACUAGUGCACUUGUACGUUGUUGAUAUUCUUAUUUUUCCUACAAAGUGAUCAAAACAAACACACAAAAUGGUACAAAAAUAAAACCAUAUAUAUACCAAAAUAAAAUAAAAAAACAUACAAAAACACAACUUACCUGCAAACAAUGCAAUGAUAAGUAUUUUAUCUUGCACAUAAAUUAAAGGAGCAAUUCCUUUGCUGAUGUAGGGUAUGUGUCAAAAUUAGGCACACAUUGCUACAUUGGUCCUGGACUCUAAAUUCUUUUCUUUUUUGAGUUUUUUAAAAAUAAUAAAGUUGUGUCUUUUAGGUUUCGAAUAAAUGGAAGUUGUUACUAAUAGAUGUCAAUUUUUAAAGCUUUUCUUUUAUUUUAUUUUUUAUGGAAACUCUUCUUUAAUGUUAAUAUUGUAAAAAAAAUCUAUAUUUACAAUAUCCCCUAAAAAGAAAAACAUUAAGUUGUACCCAUAAAAGAAAAACAUUAAAAACUCUCAUUUCUCCUAAACAUUAUUUUAAAAUACUAAUUAAUCAUAUAUACUUUUCUUUAUAUAUUUAACAAUUUCAUUUGUAACAUAAUAUAAACAAAAAUUAUUUGAAAAAUCAAAUGUAUUUAAUCUAAAAUUUAAAGGAAAAAAACAUUUGACUUUAAGAUUUCUUUUAUUU
rnacentral:lncRNA from 1 species